UCCCGGUUCCCGUUCUAUCACUGAAGUUAAGUAACGUAGAGCCUGGCCAGUACCUAAAUGGGUGAUGGCUUUGGAAUACCACGUACUGUAAG